rnacentral:rRNA from 1 species
AUUGAACGCUGGCGGAAUGCUUUACACAUGCAAGUCGAACGGCAGCACGGGAGCUUGCUCCUGGUGGCGAGUGACGAACGGGUGAGUAAUACAUCGGAACGUACCCAGUUGUGGGGGAUAACACAUCGAAAGAUGUGCUAAUACCGCAUACGACCUGAGGGAGCAAGGGGGGGAUCGCAGGACCUCUCGCAGUUGGAGCGGCCGAUGUCGGAUUAGCGAGUUGGGAGGGUAAAGGCCUACCAAGGCGACGAUCCGUAGCUGGUCUGAGAGGACGACCAGCCACACGGGGACUGAGACACGGCCCAGACUCCUACGGGAGGCAGCAGUGGGGAAUUUUGGACAAUGGGGGCAACCCUGAUCCAGCCAUUCCGCGUGAGUGAAGAAGGCCUUCGGGUUGUAAAGCUCUUUCGGCAGGAACGAAAAGGUGGGUCCUAAUACGAUCUGCUCAUGACGGUACCUGAAGAAGAAGCACCGGCUAACUACGUGCCAGCAGCCGCCGUAA